UCUUACCGGGUCCGGACACACUGAGGAUUGACAGGCAAUAUAUGUGACUCUUCGGAGUUUGCAUUGUUAAAUAUGCUAGUCCUUUCAUGAUUAUGUGAUAGGUGGUGCAUGGCCGUUCUUAGUUCGUGGAGUGAUCUGUCUGCUUAAUUGCGUUUCAAAUUACUUAUAAGGUAGCAAUACGCGAUGAAGCUUUCAAUAGUCCUCACGGAUUCACUUGAGUCUCUCGCUUCGCUAUCCUUUCGAAUGCAACGAACGUGACCGCAACCUCUUGUUGCCUUCGUUUAACAUCCUGCAGCUCGCUGUGGGUACUGAGGGCUUCACUCGGUGACUUUGGGCUGAGCAAUCGGUC
rnacentral:rRNA from 1 species